GACGAACGCUGGCGGCGUGCCUAAUACAUGCAAGUAGAACGCUGAAGGAGGAGCUUGCUUCUCUGGAUGAGUUGCGAACGAGUGAGUAACGCGUAGGUAACCUGCCUGGUAGCGGGGGAUAACUAUUGGAAACGAUAGCUAAUACCGCAUAAUAGUAGAUGUUGCAUGACAUUUGCUUAAAAGGUGCAAUUGCAUCACUACCAGAUGGACCUGCGUUGUAUUAGCUAGUUGGUGGGGUAACGGCUCACCAAGGCGACGAUACAUAGCCGACCUGAGAGGGUGAUCGGCCACACUGGGACUGAGACACGGCCCAGAAUCCUACGGGAGGCAGCAGUAGGGAAUCUUCGGCAAUGGACGGAAGUCUGACCGAGCAACGCCGCGUGAGUGAAGAAGGUUUUCGGAUCGUAAAGCUCUGUUGUAAGAGAAGAACGAGUGUGAGAGUGGAAAGUUCACACUGUGACGGUAUCUUACCAGAAAGGGACGGCUAACUACGUG
rnacentral:rRNA from 1 species